AUGAACGCUGGCGGCGUGCCUAACACAUGCAAGUCGAACGAAGAGGCCCCUUCGGGGGCACUUCAGUGGCGGACGGGUGAGUAACACGUAGGUAACCUGCCCCGAAGUGGGGAAUAACGGUCCGAAAGGACCGCUAAUACCCCAUGUGAUCGCAAGAUUAAAGCCCCCUUCGGGGAGCGCUUCGGGAGGGGCCUGCGGCCCAUCAGCUUGUUGGUAGGGUAACGGCCUACCAAGGCGACGACGGGUAGGGGACCUGAGAGGGUGACCCCCCACACUGGCACUGACAUACGGGCCAGACUCCUACGGGAGGCAGCAGUGAGGAAUAUUGGUCAAUGGGCGAAAGCUUGAACCAGCAACGCCGCGUGGAUGAUGAAGGCCUUCGGGUCGUAAAAUCCUUUUCUGGGGGACGAGUAAGGACGGUACCCCAGGAAUAAGUACCGGCUGACUACGUGCCAGCAGCCGCGGUAAAACGUAGGGUGCAAGCGUUAUCCGGAUUCACUGGGUGUAAAGCGCGUGCAGGUGGUCUCGUAAGUUGGACGUGAAAUCUUCUGGCUUAACUGGGAGAGGCCGUUCAAUACUGCGGGACUAGAGGGCAGGAGAGGGAGGUGGAAUUCCCGGUGUAGUGGUGAAAUGCGUAGAUAUCGGGAGGAACACCAGUGGCGAAGGCGGCCUCCUGGGCCUGCUCCUGACGCUCAGACGCGAAAGCUAGGGGAGCGAACGGGAUUAGAAACCCCGGUAGUCCUAGCCAUAAACGAUGGAUGCUAGGUGUCGGUGGUAUUGACCCCAUCGGUGCCGAAGCCAACGCGUUAAGCAUCCCACCUGGGGACUACGGCCGCAAGGUUAAAACUCAAAGGAAUUGACGGGGGCCCGCACAAGCAGCGGAGCGUGUGGUUUAAUUCGAUGCUACGCGAAGAACCUUACCCGGGUUUGACAUGCAGGUAGUAGUGAAGCGAAAGCGGAACGACCCUUCGGGGAGCCUGCACAGGUGCUGCAUGGCUGUCGUCAGCUCGUGCCGUGAGGUGUUAGGUUAAGUCCUGUAACGAGCGCAACCCCUGUCGUCAGUUAUACGUGUCUGACGAGACUGCCGGUCAUAAACCGGAGGAAGGCGGGGAUGACGUCAAGUCAGCAUGGCCCUUAUAUCCGGGGCUACACACACGCUACAAUGGCCGGUACAAUGGGUCGCCAAGCCGCGAGGCGGAGCCAAUCCUAUAAAGCCGGUCUCAGUUCGGAUUGUAGGCUGCAACCCGCCUGCAUGAAGUCGGAGUUGCUAGUAACCGCGCGUCAGCCAUAGUGCGGUGAAUACGUUCCCGGGCCUUGUACACACCGC
rnacentral:rRNA from 1 species